rnacentral:lncRNA from 1 species
AACUAACAGCAGGAAGAAGUGGUGGGAGGCGCCAAGCAGAGCAACAACAGACAAGGCUGGGAGUACUGUGGCGGUGUGGCCUGGCCGCCUAGAGGAUUUGGGGAAUGAGAGGCUCAUGUGAGGGAUUACACAAUGUAGGUACGGAACUAUAUCCCUCAGAACCUCCGUAGUGGCACCAGGCACAGCUGGAGGCAGUGCAAGGAUGCGUGCGGAGGGGCGGAGGUGCUGUUGGGCGAGUGCGGCAUAGGGGCACUAGCGGAGGGCGGUGCAGGGAGUGCGUAGGAGGGGUGGAGGUGGUGCAGAGGGCGUGCGGCGGAGGAGCGGAGGAGGUGCAGGGCCACGAGCGGAGGUGGUGUCAUGGGGUGCUGGCGGAGUUGGAGUCCAAGGAUUUGAUGGGAAAGUGAGGUUGGGGAAGAAAAAGAGAUAAGGGAAAUAAGUAAUUAAUUCAUUCUUUGUGGGUCCCAUUUACGUGCAAAGUUGUGCAUGAAAAUUAAAAUUUAGCAUCAAUGCCAAAUUGGAUCUAUGUGACAAAUUUGGCUUUUUGCACGCCGUGGAAGUCCUUAGGUAUACAAAUCUCAUAUCUUCGAUUUUAGAAUUAAAAAUACGAUGAAUAGAUACGUAUCGGACAAAAUCCAGUAUCAGUGAAUUAUACUCACUCCAUCCGGAUUUAUAAGACCUGCAUUGAAUUUUGUGCCAAACUUUGACGAACAAUUAUACAAAAAGAUGUAGGUAUAUAAACAUAUACUAUUGAUUGAGUUUUUCAAUACGAAUACAAUGAUAUUUCUUUUGUGUCGCAAUAACAUCAUAUUACAAAGUAAUGUUUCGCCAAAGUCACUUAUAAAAUCUCGAGCGGGCCUUAUAAACACGGCCAGAGGGAGUAUACCAGUAUGGUAGGGAAUAAAAAAAAGAUACAAAAUGAAAAAACAUUAGCACACUUAAAAAAAAAUACAAGAACGAUCGUCAGGUCUAGCCCGCGCGGGCCACCAGGUAGAAAGAAAGCAAGCAUUAAUUACCUAGCACGAAUGCUUUAUUUCCAUGUACAGCAGUAGUACAAACAAGCAAGGCUAAACAGGGAGAGAAUAGUUUUUUGAAGUCCGUAGCACAGCAAAUACUACACUCUGGCAAUGGGUAAAUGAGGUGGACAAUUAAUAAUCCAGAUCAACCUGUGAUCACCUUCAAAUUCUCUCGGCUAUAUAUGCCCAAGGCAAAUCCCUGUCGACGUUCACCAAAUCGCCCCCAACUCGAUCGAGCUUCAAUUCCAGAGAGACAGAGUACAGUAACGUACGCGCGCA